AGAACGAACGCUGGCGGCAGGCUUAACACAUGCAAGUCGAACGCCCCGCAAGGGGAGUGGCAGACGGGUGAGUAACACGUGGGAACAUGCCCAAAGGUACGGAACAACUCCGGGAAACUGGAGCUAAUACCGUAUGUGCCCGAAAGGGGAAAGAUUUAUCGCCUUUGGAUUGGCCCGCGUCGGAUUAGCUAGUUGGUGGGGUAAAAGCCUACCAAGGCGACGAUCCGUAGCUGGUCUGAGAGGAUGAUCAGCCACACUGGGACUGAGAUACGGCCCAGACUCCUACGGGAGGCAGCAGUGGGGAAUAUUGGACAAUGGGGGCAACCCUGAUCCAGCAAUGCCGCGUGAGUGAUGAAGGCCUUAGGGUUGUAAAGCUCUUUUGGCGGGGACGAUGAUGACGGUACCCGCAGAAUAAGCCCCGGCUAACUUCGUGCCAGCAGCCGC
rnacentral:rRNA from 1 species